AACGAACGCUGGCGGCAGGCUUAACACAUGCAAGUCGAACGCCCCGCAAGGGGAGUGGCAGACGGGUGAGUAACGCGUGGGAACAUACCCUUUCCUGCGGAAUAGCUCCGGGAAACUGGAAUUAAUACCGCAUACGCCCUACGGGGGAAAGAUUUAUCGGGGAAGGAUUGGCCCGCGUUGGAUUAGCUCGUUGGUGGGGUAAAGGCCUACCAAGGCGACGAUCCAUAGCUGGUCUGAGAGGAUGAUCAGCCACAUUGGGACUGAGACACGGCCCAAACUCCUGCGGGAGGCAGCAGUGGGGAAUAUUGGACAAUGGGCGCAAGCCUGAUCCAGCCAUGCCGCGUGAGUGAUGAAGGCCUUAGGGUUGUAAAGCUCUUUCACCGAUGAAGAUAAUGACGGUAGUCGGAGAAGAAGCCCCGGCUAACUUCGUG
rnacentral:rRNA from 1 species